GCCCAAGUGGCGAAAUUGGUAGACGCAACGGACUCAAAAUCCGUCGGUAGCGAUACUGUACCGGUUCGAGUCCGGUCUUGGGCACCA
rnacentral:tRNA from 4 species